GCUAGCCGCCGAAGGUGGGACAAAUGAUUGGGGUGAAGUCGUAACAAGGUAGCCGUAUCGGAAGGUGCGGCUGGAUCACCUCCUUUCUAAGGA
rnacentral:rRNA from 1 species